UUUCCUUUUUUUGGUCGACCACCAUUCUGGAUAACCAAUACACUUGAAACACCCUUCGGAUUCAUGUCCUUGACAGCCACAAUGGGUAUAUAACAGAAUAAAGGAUCAGAUCUACUUGGCUUGACGUGGAUAAUCUGAUGCAUGAAUACAAUAGAAGGAAUUGGGGUCUGUUGAUCGUAUGGGAGAACUAUGAGUUGUCAUUUCUUCGAUGUUUUUGGUGAUGGAGGCUAGAGUUUUUCUUCUAAUACUCAUUAAAUAUGAGCAUUGGCCGAGUUGGGAUGAGUUAAGGCUUGUCCUUACCCGACCAUAGAUAUUGAUUCAACCAUUUUUCUGAACCCGGACCCGACGCUAGACCUGUAGUUAACCCGACCCAAAAUAUUCACAGAGUCAGCAUUUAAACCCAAAUCCGACCCUAGAUCCAAUUA